CAGAUCUAAGCCUCAAAAAAAACAACACCAGCCAACCAAACAAAAACCCUCUGUAUGUUCCUCCAGGUGCAACAUGAUGUCCCUAUGGGCUAAAAUGGCUUUUAUUUGAUGUUCUGACUGUUCAUUAUACCACGAAUCUUCUGAAAAGCAAAGUGACUUGCACUGGAGACGGCAUAGGUGAGAGCCACUAAUGAGGCAGCACAGAAACAGCUUUGAACCUGUAUAGUCUUCAUCUCCCUCUGGUCUCAGCAAAUAAUUCCCCCUCUGA